UGGGGAAUUUUGGACAAUGGGGGAAACCCUGAUCCAGCCAUCCCGCGUGUGCGAAGAAGGCAUUCGGGUUGUAAAGCACUUUUGGCAGGAAAGAAACGUCAUGGGUUAAUACCCCGUGAAACCGACGGUACCUGCAGAAUAAGCACCGGCUAACUACGCGCCAGCAGCCGCGGUAAUACGUAGGGUGCAAGCGUUAAUCGGAAUUACUGGGCGUAAAGCGUGCGCAGGCGGUUCGGAAAGAAAGAUGUGAAAUCCCAGAGCUCAACUUUGGAACUGCAUUUUUAACUACCGGGCUAGAGUGUGUCGGAGGGAGGUGGAAUUCCGCGUGUAGCAGUGAAAUGCGUAGAUAUGCGUAGGAACACCGAUGGCGAAGGCAGCCUCCUGAGAUAACACUGACGCUCAUGCAAGAAAGCGUGGGGAUCAAACAGG
rnacentral:rRNA from 1 species